AUGUUCUCCGGCGCGAACCCGCCCGUGGCCGCGCGCAGCUCCGCCAGCGAGAACUCGGCGAACCCCGCCUCGGAGGACGAGGCCGCCGCCGCCGCCGCCGGCGGAGGCGGCGCGGCCCGGUGCGCGCUCGCCGAGAAGGACGGCCGCCUGGCCAUCGGCGCCGCCCCCGCGCCCGUCCCCGGCGGCUUCUCCGGGUGGGGGUGCGUCACCGCCCGCAGCGACGAGCGGCAGCAGCCCAUGAGCCGUCAGCAGCAGCACCCCGCGAGUCGCCGGGAGGAGCAGGGGAGGGGGAGGAGUCGCGGCGUGGUUUGA
rnacentral:rRNA from 1 species